GAUGAACGCUGGCGGCGCGCCUAACACAUGCAAGUCGAACGAAGCUUGACGGAUGAUUUCUUCGGAAUGAAACCAGAUAUGACUUAGUGGCGGACGGGUGAGUAACACGUGAGCAACCUGCCUUUCAGAGGGGGAUAACGGCUGGAAACGGUCGCUAAUACCGCAUGAUGUGUUCGGAUGGCAUCAUCUGAACAUCAAAGAUUUAUCGCUGAAAGAUGGGCUCGCGUCUGAUUAGAUAGUUGGUGGGGUAACGGCCUACCAAGUCUACGAUCAGUAGCCGGACUGAGAGGUUGAACGGCCACAUUGGGACUGAGAUACGGCCCAGACUCCUACGGGAGGCAGCAGUGGGGAAUAUUGCACAAUGGGGGAAACCCUGAUGCAGCAACGCCGCGUGAAGGAUGACGGUUUUCGGAUUGUAAACUUCUUUUCUUAGUGACGAAGACAGUGACGGUAGCUAAGGAAUAAGCAUCGGCUAACUACGUG
rnacentral:rRNA from 1 species